UUCUCUUCUGUGCAGCUAGCUGCUUUCAGAAACUUCUAAAAUGGCAAGCAGAGAGCUAGGAAGGAGGAAGAACUGAAGUACAAUCUAUUUAUCUCACAGUCCUUAGCAUUAGUGCAAGAAGUGGUAUUUGGUGGAAAGAUGUUCAAAUAGCACUUGUAUUUCAGGUUAAUCUGUUUGGUGUUAAUACUAAAGGAACAACAAAAGUAGCAGAUAAAAGACUCUAACUUGAAGGGUGGGGAAAAAAUAAGACUUACAGCAGUGAUUUUCAGCUGGUGUGCCGUGAAAAAUUUUAAAGACCAUUAAUUAAAUUAUUUUCAAAAGAAGUACAAAGCACAGCAUCUGGGAAUGAUAGCAAGUCGAACCACUAUCAAGAUGUCACCUUCACUAAUGAUGCUGGUGAUGUGCUUUUUCUCAUGCUGAACCUAAAGGAAAAGGAUAAAGAUACAAAGAGAAGGAAGAUAAUGGCCCCACAGGUUUCAGAUGAGAUAUGAAUGGUCCUGGUUGCAGUGACUUGAAGAAAGUCUUCAUUUUGUCAUGGAGGAGAAGGGCAACUCAAUCACAGGUAAACCUUGUGAGAAGGGGCCAGGGAGAUAGGCAGAUACGCAGGCUCCAGACAGAAGCCCACCAUGGCACUGCGGCACAGCUGGGAAGCUUCCAUCACCCUCAGGAAGGCUGCAGGAAAAAAGUUUCCCACUGGGCAUAAAGGCUGACGUGGAAAACAAUCAAAACAGGGAUGGCUGAAAUCUAUAAAACAAUGUUGCAUGAGAUUUUCUUUAUUUAAGUCAUAGAGUAUUUUUCACCUUGUCAAAGGAAAUCUUUCUUGUUAUCAUUCACUAGGGAUGUAUAAUUGGAGAGAUGCAUUCUUGCUUCUUGGGAAUUUAUUAAUAUAUCUAGUACCAAUUGCACUUAUCCAAGAUAGUAAGAUACAGAUGUCUGAGGACAAAAAUGUCACAUUCAUACCAUCUAAUUUGGGCCAAAGAGAAUCAUUUUCUUCUCCGUGAGUAUGUUGACCUAAUUUUGGAAGUGAUGAUGGUUAUCACUUUUGUACCAGAGAACAUGAGGAAUGCAUCUUUCUCCUCCACUAGCCUCUGUUAGCAUCAUUAGGGUAGAAAUUCUGUGUUAAUUUCCCAUUCUCCCUCACACAGAGACACAAUUGUCUUCCCUUUCAAAGACAAACACCUUUCUCUAGAAAAAGUGGUUGUGGGUGCCAGGGACCUCCAGGGUAGUGAGAGUACACCCACCCAGCCCUGAAGCCCAGGAUGGCCCUGAGAAAUUCCAGUCUUUCUGGAAGGAAGGUGGUACAGAAUGUCCUUGAGUAUUUAAAGAGAUGCUUACUGAAAUAAAUGUACCAGAAAUAGGCAACUAAUCAGGGUAAAACAGUAUUUUCAUGAUUUUUAACAUAUCACUGAAAAUUUUCCUUUAUUAACAAAAAAUUAAAUUGUAACACACCCAGUAGUAUUUUAAUAUUUUUACUCAUGGAUUUGUAAUCCAUAUCAGUAAUUUGAUAUGUCUAAAAAGAAGAGGUGAUAAGCCAACAUUUUGUUUUCUCUCCAUAGGAAACAAGUCAGGAGGAAAAAAUGUAAGGUUGAGAUUUACAUAACAGGACACCCUUAACAGAAAAUAUUUUAUAUUAAAGAAAUCUGGAUUUCUAAUAGGUAGGUACCAUUAUGAACUAAAAGGUUAAGUAUAAGAAAGAGUACACUCCCUAUUGUUUUUAGAUAAACAGAAAACUUAGACAAAUAUCCAGGAUUGAAAUCAGAGGAUUCUCCUCCAUUUCUAGGUAGUCUGGGCCUAACUCCAAACAAAAACAAUUGUAAUCUCAGGAAGUCCCUCCCUGAGAGACACAGGUUAAAUUUCCCUCUGGAGAAUUACCAAAUCUGAAGGCAUGUGAGGAUUAGCAGUCACUUUAAUAAUGAAUCUCAUUGGUUUGGUCUCCACACAUCUGUAGACAUCAAUUGUGUCCACAAUUCUACAUAGCAGCCAAACAGAAAAUACAUUGUCCACUAAAACUUCCAGAAAUGAACUCUGAGUGUGCAGGUUCUCCAACAUCUCAUAGGGAAGUUUAACCAAAGAUGAAUUCAGAUCUUUUCCUGAGCCAUUGACAUAAGGAGAGAGACCCCAAAGUGGAGAACAUGGGCACACACGGAAUAACACACAUUUCUUUUUAUGUUAAAAACAGAAAAUAGCCCAAAAGGGGCAGGGGGACAUUUGGAAAAAUAAUCUACAUUUUGGUUUUGGAGAUGCCUGUUUCCGGUUAUCUAUUUAUUUUUAUUUAUAUUGAAUAUUGUUUUCAUCUCUGGCUAUCAUCUAUGAAAAAAAGAGUUUGUUUGCAUUUAAGCACUUGAUACGCAGAAUUUAUUUUUACCAAAGACAGAAGUAAGAAAUAAUACGGGAUGCAUUCAUCUUAGCAAAUCUUUAUAACGAUGUGGAGAGUGUAACUUACUUUCUAAGUGUAGAGUAUAAAUGUCAUAACACAAUAAUUAAUUAAGAAAGUGUGGUGAAGGCUAUGCUAACAAGUUUGUUAUAUAUAUUUCAA